CAGGAAAACCUGGUGCUGAGGAAUAACAAGAGAUAAAAAGUGUAAAUGCCACGUUCAAUCUCUGAUGGAGACCGGAAUAUAAAAGUCUGGUCUUUAUAAAAUUCUUCCUGUGGAACAAAAUUUUUGCUCUUUUAGAACAAUGGGCCUCAUUCCUAGGAGUCAUAAAUCAAGCCAAAGUAGCCUGAGGGAUUUAUACCAGAGAAUGAUCUGCACCACCAGUUCAAUAUUUUGUUGCAACUGAAUGGGACUUUUCUACUUUAGUUGCUGAAGCUGGACUGGACAAGGUAGCAUUUUUUGAGGAACAACAGAUCUUGGACCGUGUGUCUUGGUUGGAGAUUUUGCUUCCUGCUAAAUGUUUGUGCCAGUUUUUGCUCCUCCUAUUCAGGGGAAAAUUCAUCAAGUCUCGGUGACUUGCAAAUAAAUCAGAUGUAUAUGGCCAGCUUUUUCUCCAUUAAUAUGGGAUUUUAAAAUAACAGACAAUUUCAGGUGCAAUCUGUAUACUCUGCAAAAUGUAAAGCUGUGUUUUUGGUAGCUUGCAAUUCCUUAAACAGGCAAGAAAUUUCUUCCAACUGUGUGCAUAGGUUUCUUAGAAAAUCAGGAACAGAUAUGUAAAAAGAGUAAAAGAAAAUUACUUAAAU